rnacentral:tRNA from 1 species
AUUUAAAUAGUUUAAAAAAAUAUUGGUUUGUGGGACCAAAGUUAUGCUAUUGCAUUUUAGAUA